CUCCAGGCCGAAACCCCAGCGCUGCUCCAGCCGCCGCGCCUCCUCCGCCGCGCCCCCAGCCGCCGCCUCCCCGGGCUCGGGCUGCUCCCCUGAGGCGCCCGGGCCGCGACCGGAUCCAGGUGGCGAGGGCGGUGGCAGCGGUGGCGGCAGCAGCGGGGCGCCCUCCGCCCCAGGCCGCUCCUCCGGGUCCGGGCUGAGCGUGAGGCCGUCGACGGACACCUCGAGUCGCUCUGCGUUCAGCACCGCCGCCAUCUCCGGCUGCUGCACCUCCUCAGCGGGGACAGACGGCAGCCACGUAUCGACUUCCUGCUGACCUCUGACCUCCGCUUACCGACACCGGAACUUCCGCUGCUGAGGAGGCUGGAGGGCUCCGGGAGAGGGGCUGAGGCCUGGCGCCCCACCCCCUCCGGAAUCGUCAGUUGCCCUGGCUCAGCGACCACCCUUCAGGCUCCCCAACUCCCGUUGGUCCCGAACUCCCCUCCCCCGCACCCCAUCCUUUCGGAUCCCAGUUGCUCCAGGUGGGCGGGUGCUACCACCCCCACCGCUCGGUUCGGUGCUGCGGCUGUCAGUGCCCAGCAGGGGCGGGGUCAGUGGAGCCCCGCGCGGGGGUCGGAGUAGGGAGGAUUGACGAGGUCGGCCAGCACCCAACCCUCCAGGAAAACAUGCUUGAUCCUGUCACAAACACAUAUAGCACACAUGGAACCACCAUAGGCCCUGCUGACAUGGUUUUUUGUGUUUUGGACAAUCUCAUAAGACUUCGGGUCUUAUAGCACGAACCCCUUGAAGUCUGCGUGGGUACACACCACAGUAGAUUUUGGUGCUUUCCCAGCCUUCUUGGUAUAAAGUUACAGCAAGAAGACGUGAAAGGUUGGGAAAGGAGACCUCUGAUUCCAAGGACUCGUUCAAAAGAUGCUGAGACCGAGGCUUAAGCUUCAGGGCACCUCGGCCCCACCUGCUGGCCGGAGACGGUAGCGCUGCCCCAGCCGCUCAGUGCUUAUGGGGCUGGCAGAGGGAUGGGAUGGGGCUGGCUGGGAAGAAGAGGUCGCUGAGGCCCCGCCUGGGAGCUGCAGAGCUGGGGCAAACCUGGGGCUCUGGGCAGGUCUGCCCCAGGCAGUAUACUGUGGAGAAUGAAACUUUUCUAAAUGAUCAAUAAAAAAGCCAAAGUGGAG
rnacentral:lncRNA from 1 species